AAAUGCCCUUGGGGAAUUAGGGUUUUGCAAGCUGAUAUAAAUACCUCCCAUCUUCCUUCAGUCUGCGCCACCGUAAACAACUCCAGCGAUUCCGAACGCAUCCAUAGCAAGAGGCGCAGCCGGCGAAGCUUUCUGAGCCACCAUGAGGGCUAAGUGGAAGAAGAAGAGGAUGAGGAGAUUGAAGAGGAAGCGCCGAAAGAUGAGACAGCGAUCUAAGUAGAGGAUGAACACGUAGGAUUCGGGCAUGCUUCUUUUGCAAGAAGAACCAGCUUCCUUAUCGAUUGGAAGAACUUUUUUUUUGUUAAAAGAGCUUUGUCUUGAUAUUCUGUGGUCGAAUUCCUGUUCAGGGAUCGAGUUUAUGUUUUGUGUUCGACUCUUUCAGUACUUCUGCUUUAGGUUGACUGAGUUUUAGUUUUGUAAUGAAGAGUGUGCGCUACUUUCUUGACAUGCUCGUUGGCAGAAUUUUAUAUGAAACUGUUCUAGACAUUGUUUUUGAUAUAAUUUCGUCUUUCGCUUU